AAUCCAAACUACGGUCUUUUACACACGCUCAGCUUCAUAGAACCCCACAGACCACGAAUCCAAGCCCAGAAUCCAACUCACCUAAUCUCAACCUCUUCAGGUACCACUGGGAGCGACGAAAGGCUGAGCCCACGACCAGAAAACCACUUUCUGUCCGGACGCCCUCCUUUGCGGUCCCUAGAGACGCUGACCACCUGGGACCGGGGAAUCCCACGAGAACCUUGGCGCGUUGCCGGGGUUUCCGAGUUCCAACUGCGGGCUCCGCUCUGUGACGUAACACGGCUGUGGGGAGAAAUCGUUCCUGACCGCCUCAAAGCUUUCACCUCCUGGUUGCGAGGGACAGUCAGCAGUGAUGUACUAAAUGUAAGAUUUCGGAGGCAGAUGCCUCUCCAAGGCCAACAUGGCUCGUUCAGCCUGCUGGGGAACCAAGAAAGAUGGCGACGCCCUUUGUGUACUUCAGAUCGGAAGCGCUAUGGAGUACCAUGGGCGCGGCCAUCUUGGAACAAGACUCAUGUCUGUACGGCAGAAAAGGGCUCAGAUCCUAGGAGACCUGGAAAGAUUUUAAAAGGUAGAAGCCGAGACAUCACUGGAAAGGCAGCGGCCGCAGAGUUGAUAAAAGCAGUGGUCACUAAAAAUCUUAGGUUUGGGGAGAGAGCAGUUGUGUGUGGAGUGGGUAAGGUCUUUGGGAAGGAAGCAAGACAGCCACUGAAGAGGUGAAGGCUGAGUUCCUGUUGUGGCUCAGCAGGUUAAGGAUCUGGUAUCACUGCUGUGGCUCAGGUCGCUGCUGUGGCGCAGGUUCGAUCCCUGGCCUGGGAACUUCCGCAGGCCACAUGGGUGUAGCAAAAAAAAAAAAAAAAGAAGAAGAAGAAAAAAGAAAGGCGAAGCCCAGGCAGAGUUGGAUAAAAAUGCUAAUACCCACAUGGGAGUGGAUACAGAGCAACCUCUAGUGGGCAGGGUGAUGAAGUGAAGGUGCAAGUGUAUGUCUGGGUUUCCUUCCAAAAAUAAAUGAAGCUCCUCCAUUACA
rnacentral:lncRNA from 1 species